GGGUCGAUGAUGAGAACCUUAUAUUGUCUGGAAACAUAAAAAUCAUGCUCAAUAGGAUCCCACACGCUGAGGCCC
rnacentral:snoRNA from 1 species